rnacentral:rRNA from 2 species
GGUCAAGCGAAUAAGCGCACACGGUGGAUGCCUAGGCGGUCAGAGGCGAUGAAGGACGUGGUAGCCUGCGAAAAGUGUCGGGGAGCUGGCAACAAGCUUUGAUCCGGCAAUGUCCGAAUGGGGAAACCCACUGCUUCGGCAGUAUCCUGCAGUGAAUUCAUAGCUGCUGGAAGCGAACCCGGUGAACUGAAAUAUCUAAGUAACCGGAGGAAAAGAAAUCAACCGAGAUUCCCUAAGUAGUGACGAGCGAACGGGGAGCAGCCCUUAAGCUGGAAUGGCUUUAGAAAAACAAUCUGGAAAGAUUGGCCAUAGAAGGUGAUAGCCCUGUAUUUAAAAGGGCCACUCCAGUGAAGACGAGUAGGGCGGGGCACGUGAAACCCUGUCUGAAUAUGGGGGGACCAUCCUCCAAGGCUAAAUACUCCUGACCGACCGAUAGUGAACCAGUACCGUGAGGGAAAGGCGAAAAGAACCCCGGAGAGGGGAGUGAAAUAGAUCCUGAAACCGUGUGCGUACAAGCAGUAGGAGCUCGCAAGAGUGACUGCGUACCUUUUGUAUAAUGGGUCAGCGACUUACUGUUCGUGGCAAGCUUAACCGUAUAGGGGAGGCGAAGGGAAACCGAGUCUGAUAAGGGCGCAUAGUCGCGGGCAGUAGACCCGAAACCGGGUGAUCUAGUCAUGGCCAGGGUGAAGGUGCCGUAACAGGUACUGGAGGCCCGAACCCACGUCUGUUGCAAAAGACGGGGAUGAGCUGUGAUUAGGAGUGAAAAGCUAAUCGAACCCGGAGAUAGCUGGUUCUCCUCGAAAGCUAUUUAGGUAGCGCCUCGGACGAAUACUACUGGGGGUAGAGCACUGUUAUGGCUAGGGGGUCAUCGCGACUUACCAAACCAUUGCAAACUCCGAAUACCAGUACGUACUAUCCGGGAGACACACGGCGGGUGCUAACGUCCGUCGUGAAAAGGGAAACAACCCAGACCCACAGCUAAGGUCCCAAAUUCACUGCUAAGUGGAAAACGAUGUGGAAAGGCAUAGACAGCCAGGAGGUUGGCUUAGAAGCAGCCACCCUUUAAAGAAAGCGUAAUAGCUCACUGGUCGAGUCGGUCUGCGCGGAAGAUUUAACGGGGCUAAGCAGUGAACCGAAGCUUGGGGUGCAUAAAACUUGUUUUAUGCGCGGUAGAGGAGCGUUCCGUAAGCCUGCGAAGGUGGAUUGAGAAGUCUGCUGGAGGUAUCGGAAGUGCGAAUGCUGACAUGAGUAACGAUAAUGCGGGUGAAAAGCCCGCACGCCGAAAGCCCAAGGUUUCCUUGCGCAACGUUAAUCGACGCAGGGUUAGUCGGUCCCUAAGGCGAGGGCGAAAGCCGUAGUCGAUGGGAAGCAGGUUAAUAUUCCUGCACCUCGCGUGAGUGCGAUGGAGGGACGGAGAAGGUUAGGUGUACCGGGCGUUGGUUGUCCCGGGGAAAGGCGGUAGGUUUGGAUCUUUGGCAAAUCCGGGAUCCUUUAAGACCGAGCACCGAGACGAGCCUUUAUGGCGAAGUCACUGAUACCACGCUUCCAGGAAAAGCUCCUAAGCUUCAGCUCACGAAGACCGUACCGUAAACCGACACAGGUGGGUAGGAUGAGAAUUCUCAGGCGCUUGAGAGAACUCGGGUGAAGGAACUAGGCAACAUGGCACCGUAACUUCGGGAGAAGGUGCACCCUUUUUGGUGGCUCAUGCGAGCUAUAGCUGAAGAGGGUCGCAGAAACCAGGCCGCUGCGACUGUUUAUCAAAAACACAGCACUCUGCAAACACGAAAGUGGACGUAUAGGGUGUGACGCCUGCCCGGUGCUGGAAGGUUAAUUGAUGGGGUCAGCCGCAAGGCGAAGCUCUUGAUCGAAGCCCCAGUAAACGGCGGCCGUAACUAUAACGGUCCUAAGGUAGCGAAAUUCCUUGUCGGGUAAGUUCCGACCUGCACGAAUGGCGUAACGACAGCGGCGCUGUCUCCACCCGAGACUCAGUGAAAUUGAAAUCGCUGUGAAGAUGCAGCGUUCCCGUGGCAAGACGGAAAGACCCCGUGAACCUUUACUAUAGCUUUACACUGAACGUUGAGUUCGUCUGUGUAGGAUAGGUGGGAGGCUAUGAAACUGUGGCGCUAGCUGCAGUGGAGCCAUCCUUGAAAUACCACCCUGUCGUGCUUGACGUUCUAACCUAGAUCCGUUAUCCGGAUCAGGGACCGUGUAUGGUGGGUAGUUUGACUGGGGCGGUCUCCUCCUAAAGAGUAACGGAGGAGCACGAAGGUACGCUCAGCGCGGUCGGACAUCGCGCACUGUGUGCAAAGGCAUAAGCGUGCUUGACUGCAAGAUCGACGGAUCAAGCAGGUACGAAAGUAGGUCUUAGUGAUCCGGUGGUUCUGUAUGGAAGGGCCAUCGCUCAACGGAUAAAAGGUACUCCGGGGAUAACAGGCUGAUACCGCCCAAGAGUUCAUAUCGACGGCGGUGUUUGGCACCUCGAUGUCGGCUCAUCACAUCCUGGGGCUGUAGUCGGUCCCAAGGGUAUGGCUGUUCGCCAUUUAAAGUGGUACGCGAGCUGGGUUCAGAACGUCGUGAGACAGUUCGGUCCCUAUCUGCCAUGGGCGUUGGAAGUUUGAGAGGGGCUGCUCCUAGUACGAGAGGACCGGAGUGGACGAACCUCUGGUGUUCCGGUUGUCACGCCAGUGGCAUUGCCGGGUAGCUAUGUUCGGAAGCGAUAACCGCUGAAAGCAUCUAAGCGGGAAGCGCGCCUCAAGAUGAGACUUCCCGGGGCACAAGCCCCCUAAAGGAACCAUAUAGACUAUGUGGUUGAUAGGUCAGGUGUGUAAGUACAGCAAUGUAUUGAGCUAACUGAUACUAAUGAUCCGUGCGGCUUGACCAU